UUAGUCGGUCUCGGAGCAAACGAAGUGAAGCAUGUUAUUUAAUACGACAAUACGCGUAUAACCUUACCAGACCUUGCAUAUCUAGCUCUUUUUAUUUUUUUCAUUUAAUUUGAGUGAGUAUAUUUUAAACUUUUUUUUUAAAAUAAUACGCAGAUACAGGUGUUGCAUGGCUGUCGUCA
rnacentral:rRNA from 1 species